rnacentral:misc_RNA from 1 species
GUAGGUGAACCUGCGGAAGGAUCAUUAACACGUAUCCACGUAUCAACCCCUCUGUGAAAACGCAAAAGCAGCAAGGUCUGGUCUUAGUGCGUCUGUCUGCUAUGGGUCCUAAUGAUGGGUGACUCUCUCUCUCUCUCUCUCGGGGGGGACGAGAGUCACAGGGCUCGGACGGCGUGUGUUUGACGAUCAACCGAUACUUUUCCAUUGUUGGCCUUUACCCAACUUUUUAACCCCUUUGUACUCUUUUGUA